CCUACGGGAGGCAGCAGUGAGGAAUAUUGGUCAAUGGGCGCAAGCCUGAACCAGCCACGUCGCGUGAAGGAAGACGGCCCUACGGGUUGUAAACUUCUUUUGUAAGGGAAUAAAGUGUAGUACGUGUACUAUUUUGCAUGUACCUUACGAAUAAGGAUCGGCUAACUCCGUGCCAGCAGCCGCGGUAAU
rnacentral:rRNA from 1 species